rnacentral:rRNA from 1 species
GACAGAGGGUGCGAACGUUGUUCGGAAUUACUGGGCGUAAAGCGCGUGUAGGCUGUUCGGAAAGUCGGGUGUGAAAGCCCUGGGCUCAACCUAGGAAGUGCACUCGAAACUCCCGAACUGGAGUCCCGGAGAGGAAGGUGGAAUUCUCGGUGUAGAGGUGAAAUUCAGUAGAUAUCGAGAGGAACAUCGGUGGCGAAGGCGGCCUCUGGACGGUGACUGACGCUGAGACGCGAAAGCGUGGGGAGCAAACAGG